UCAUAAGAUAGACGUUUAUCGUUUAAAUGUCAAAACGAAAGUAGUGGAAUGUCGCUUAAAAAGUCAUCGAAGGACGUUUUAAUUAAAUCUAUGUUCUAUAUUCGAAUUGGAUGUACACGAUUUGAUAUUAUUUAUAGCAAUUGCAAAAAUAUGCACGAGGCUGUUUAAAAAAUUGCAUUAACGUGCGAAUAAGCACAUAGUGAUCGUUUUUGAGCAUCCUAGAAUAUGACCUCUGUCGGCUCAAUCAGCUGAUACCAUUGUUUUAAGUACUAUUAACAGCCCAGAUUCACUGUCAUUAAACAAUAUCAGGAUUGUAAUAACAAUCUAACCUGUGUCCGAAUUGGACGAGUUGUCUCCCAUAACGGCUUUUGGUCAACGACGGGGUAUUCCCUUGAGACGGAAUCCUAGGGUCCAAACUCCGUGAGCUAUAAUUUCCACACGUCAAAACAUGGCGCCUAAGUAGUGGGCGGGUUAUUCUGAUAACAAUGACCACGUGGUUCCUACAUGUGGCAUUUAAACAUCGGUCAGCAUUGAUAACGCUGUUUAUACAGACUUAUCGUGUUUAUGUCGUUAUUGAGUAAAUAUAUAAAUACGUA